rnacentral:lncRNA from 1 species
UGUUUUAGCUACAAACACUUAUCUAAGAUGCUGUCUUCGCAGGUGCCAUGCCUACAAUGGCAAGCGUGAAGCUGUCUACACUUCAUCCCAUUGUGAAUCAUCCACAUUACGAAGAUGCAGACUUGAGGGCCCAGACAAAAAUAGUUUAUUCUACAUGUAGUCGAAAAUCUGCCAAAGAAGUAGGAGAGAAAUUGUUGGAGUUACAUGUGAAUUAUUGUGUUUUAGAAGAGGCAUGGUGUGUUGUGAGAACUAAGCCUGGUUGCAUUAUGCUUGAAAUCUGGGAUGUGGAAGACCCUUCCAAUGCAGCUAACCCUCCCUUAUGUAGUGUCCUGCUCGAAGAUGCCAGUAUUUCAGAAUAGUGUGUACAGAGUAUUGAAGGUUAACUGAGAAGGAAACUACCCAUUACACUAUGGCACAAUGCCGUGUGUCAAAAACAAUCACCCUUUGGCUUAUUUACAUUAAUAAAAAUCACAAGCUUUAAUAACAGACACUUAAAAAUAAGAUAAAAAUGGAUUGAAAGUUUUUCUGAUUACUAAAAGGUAAAUUACUUUUCUGUUCAUUGAAUGUCAGCCUUAUUAAGCUUGUCA